GGCUUAUUGAUAAUAAUUUUAGGUCUGACCUGCUCAAUGAUUGAAUUUAAAUAGCCGCGGUAUUUUGACCGUGCAAAGGUAGCAUAAUCAUUAGUUUUUUAAUUGAAAGCUAGAAUGAAUGGUUUGAUGAAAAAAUGACUGUCUCUAAUAAAAUUUUUUAGAAUUUUAUUAUUAAGUGAAAAAGCUUAAAUAUUUAUAGAAGACGAGAAGACCCUAUAGAGUUUUAUAGUUAUCUAUGUGGGAUUAAUUAGAGUUAGAUAGGUAUGUAGAUAGUUAUUUAAUUGGGGUGAUUUAAAAAUUUAAUAAACUUUUUUUUUAUUUAAACAAUAAUUUUUGAGUAUUUGAUCCUUUUUUAUAAGAUUAAAAGAUAAAAUUACCUUAGGGAUAACAGCGUAAUUUUUUUUAGAGUUCAUAUCAAAAAAAAAGAUUGCGACCUCGAUGUUGGAUUAAAAUAAAUUAUUGGUGAAGAAGCUAAUAAAUUAGGUCUGUUCGACCUUUAAAAUUUUACAUGAUCUGAGUUUAAACCGGUGUGAG
rnacentral:rRNA from 1 species